AGUGAACGCUGGCGGCAGGCCUAACACAUGCAAGUCGAGCGGCAGCAGAGUACUUGCUCGUGCAUUCGGGUGCGGACUGGCGAGUAAUUCCGGGGAACAUCCCAGUCAGCUUGUUCGAACGGCCGGACGUGGGCGCUAAUACGGCAUUCGCGCAUACGACGUAAGUGGGAAAUCUUCGGACCUUACGCUAUCGCACGAGCCUAGGUCGGAUUAGCUAGUUGGUGGGGUAAAGGCCUACCAAGGCGACGAUCCGUAGCUGGUCUGAGAGGAUGAUCAGUCACACUGGAACUGAGACACGGUCCAGACUCCUACGGGAGGCAGCAGUGGGGAAUAUUGGACAAUGGGCGCAAGCCUGAUCCAGCCAUGCCGCGUGUGUGAAGAAGGUCUUCGGAUUGUAAAGCCCUUUUGGUGGGGAAGAAAAGCAGUAGGUUAAUACCCCGCUGUUCUGACGUUACCCACAGAAUAAGCACCGGCUAACUUCGUG
rnacentral:rRNA from 1 species